GAUGAACGCUGGCGGUAUGCUUAACACAUGCAAGUCGAACGGACUCUUCGGAGUUAGUGUCGGACGGGUGAGUAACGCGUCAGAAUCUGGCUUUGGGUUCGGGACAACCACUGGAAACGGUGGCUAAUACCGGAUGUGCCGAGAGGUAAAAUAGAAAUUGCCUGAAGAUGAGCUCGCGUCUGAUUAGCUAGUUGGUGAGGUAAAGGCUCACCAAGGCAGCGAUCAGUAGCUGGUCUGAGAGGAUGACCAGCCACACUGGGACUGAGACACGGCCCAGACUCCUACGGGAGGCAGCAGUGGGGAAUGUUCCGCAAUGGGCGAAAGCCUGACGGAGCAAUACCGCGUGAGGGAAGAAGGCUCUUGGGUUGUAAACCUCUUUUCUUAGGGAAGAACAAAAUGACGGUACCUAAGGAAUCAGCAUCGGCUAACUCCGUG
rnacentral:rRNA from 1 species